GGGCCCGCAAAGCGGCGGAGCAUGCGGAUUAAUUCGAUGCAACGCGAAGAACCUUACCUGGGUUUGACAUAUGGAGAAAACUGUCAGAGAUGGCAGGUCCGUAAGGGCUCUAUACAGGUGGUGCA
rnacentral:rRNA from 1 species